GAUGAACGCUAGCGGCAGGCCUAACACAUGCAAGUCGAGGGGUAGUUGUCUUCGGACAAUGAGACCGGCGCACGGGUGCGUAACGCGUAUGCAAUCUACCUUAUACUAAGGGAUGGCCCAGAGAAAUUUGGAUUAAUACCUUAUAGUUAAUAGAGUUGGCAUCGACUUUAUUAUAAAGAUUAAUUGGUAUAAGAUGAGCAUGCGUCCCAUUAGUUAGUUGGUAAGGUAACGGCUUACCAAGACGAUGAUGGGUAGGGGUCCUGAGAGGGAGAUCCCCCACACUGGUACUGAGACACGGACCAGACUCCUACGGGAGGCAGCAGUGAGGAAUAUUGGUCAAUGGGCGCAAGCCUGAACCAGCCAUGCCGCGUGCAGGAUGAAGCAUCUACGGUGUGUAAACUGCUUUUGUACGGGAAGAAAAAAAGCUACGUGUAGCUUACUGACGGUACCGUAAGAAUAAGGAUCGGCUAACUCCGUGCCAGCAGCCGCGGUAA
rnacentral:rRNA from 1 species